AACGUAGACAUGGCCGGCGCGGUUGAACGUGUAGUAUCUGUCCUUAUCAUCUUAAUAUCUGAUACGGGUUGUAUUUGGACCCAACAUAUCAAUCUUAUUUUUGCAAGUUGGCGAAGUGCUUGAAGCCUGCUUCACUCCGCCGCGGUUCAUCCCGGUAUAUUGCACUAUCUUCGGGAUUGGCCCACGGUUU